GAUGAACGCUGGCGGCGUGCCUAAUACAUGCAAGUCGAGCGAACAGAUGAGGAGCUUGCUCCUCUGACGUUAGCGGCGGACGGGUGAGUAACACGUGGAUAACCUACCUAUAAGACUGGGAUAACUUCGGGAAACCGGAGCUAAUACCGGAUAAUAUAUUGAACCGCAUGGUUCAAUAGUGAAAGACGGUUUUGCUGUCACUUAUAGAUGGAUCCGCGCCGCAUUAGCUAGUUGGUAAGGUAACGGCUUACCAAGGCAACGAUGCGUAGCCGACCUGAGAGGGUGAUCGGCCCCACUGGAACUGAGAAACGGCCCAGACUCCUAGGGAAGGCAGCAGUAGGGAAUCUUCCGAAAUGGGCGAAAGCCUGACGGAGAAACGCCGGGUGAGUAAGGAAGGUCUUCGGAUCGUAAAACUCUGUUAUAAGGGAAGAACAAAUGUGUAAGUAACUAUGCACGUCUUGACGGUACCUAAUCAGAAAGCCACGGCUAACUACGU
rnacentral:rRNA from 1 species